AAGAACAAACAGGAUGCAUCCAACAAGAUAAUAAAAAUAAUAGAUUCUGGGGAGAUGAGAUAAAUUACUUACAGAACUAAUUCUACAACAUGGAAUAAAUAUGGGAUAAAUAUACAACUUUGGGCAGAAAGUAUUCUUCACUAACCGCAAUACGGUUUCCAAUUUAAAUUUUGUUACAAAUUUUGCCAUAGCUUUAGAGUGCACCAUGAAAGAGUCCCUGUGCUUGUAUAUCAAAUCAGUCAGAGCUUUAAUUAAAGAUUUGGGGUUAAAUUUGGUGCCCACCUUAGGAACAUGCAUAAAGUCUACAUAAUCUGCAAUGACAUCAAAGAAUAAGUCAAACUAUCGCAUGCAAAAAUAUUAAAUUGUGCCAGUAACAAUCAGAGAGUAGAACAAAACAAUAUGAAAAAAGAGAAAGCACAUGCCAAAACUCUAUUCCAAUAUGACCUAAACCAUCGUUCCAUGAAAAACAGAUGCAAAAUUUUCUAUGACAAAUGUAUUCUAGUAAUAAACACAAGAACCAAUUCAAGCAACCACUGGUUUGCAUUCUUAACAAUGUACCUAGAAAUGUGUUGCAGACAUAAACUUAACUGGCUCCAAGUAGCAUAAUGGUGCAAGACUUUUAGAAAUCUGAAUUUGUAAGUAUAUUAGAGGAUUCCAUAGACAUUUGGAUUUCCCAGGGAGCAUCAGCAAAUAAAUAGCUAAUUGAAGCAGAAAGUUUAUAGAGUCCAAAAACUUGUGGAAAUUAAUGGAUUCAAGAAUAAAUGGGUUUAAACAAGGCAACUCAAUCUUCAAGAUACUGACUAGAACUAAAUAAAAAGUCAAAUUCCACUUAAGGUAUGUUGAGGGCCAACACUCAAGAUGCGGCAAACAAAGUCUUCAUCAAUUCAUUUCUUGUCCCGCAUACAUCCGAAGUUUAGAAGUACAGAUUUUCUCACCCCCCAUAAUGAAGCAUAGUAAAGUUAUAUAGUCAUACAGCUAUGUUUUAAACCUGGUGAGUUUAAUGAAAAAUUGUUUUGAGCGAUAUAUUUUUAAUGAAAAUUUUAUACAGAUUUGUAUCAUAUAAAAUAAUGCUAAUAAACUUGUCACAUGAAAUCAGCUUUUAACAGGGCAAAGUGACAGAAUAGGAUUUGGCUCUAAAUGAAGCUAAUGAGUGGUACUCCAUGGACACAGAUACGAGAAUAAGAAUCGGACUCAUGCCCAAGUAUUUGAUGCAGCAAGAGAGAAGAGGAAAUGCAAGGAUACAUAAGAUAAAUUAUAAUAUUGACUAAAUUAUAUAUACCUUUAAUUGCUUGCCUAAACAUUAAAUAUAAAAUGUUAAGAAGAUGCCAUUUAUUAAGGCCUUUCGAUAAACAUGUUUCUUAUUCAAACUUUCCACAUUAACCUAAGAAUAUAAGAAAAAUAAUAUUUUGCAAAGUUAUUUCAAUACCUACAUUCUUGGCCAACACUAAAAAUAUGAAUAACCACUUCUAACAUGAAAAUGGAGGGUCAAACUCAUUAUCAGGAGUUUCUCUCUAGCAAUCUUUAAAAAUGGAAACAAUAGAAUUUCAAAAAUAUCCAAGUGCUGACUAGGCAUCUGAGUCAGAUACAUAUCCAAUAUGGAUUUUUGGAGCUCGACAUGAG
rnacentral:lncRNA from 1 species